ensembl:lncRNA
UUUUUUUUUUUUUUUUUUAAGGACAGAGUUUCACUCUGUCACCCAGGCUGGAGUGCAGUGGUGCAAUCACAGCUCACUGCAGCCUCAACCUCCUGGACUCAAGUAAUCCUCCCACCUCAGCCUCCCAAGUAGCGGGGACUCCGGACAUGUGCCACUAUACCUGGCUAAUUUUUGUAUACUUUUAGAGACAGGAUCUCACCAUGUUGCCUGGGCUGGUCUUGAACUCCUGGACUCAAGAGAUCCACCUUCCUCGACCUCCCAAACCUCCCAAAGUGCUGGGAUUACAGGCGCCAGUCACCACUCCUGGCCCAUGAUGGAUUUUCAGAUGACCUCUUUUGCUUUUAGUCUCUCCAAAGAGAGAGAUUCUUGUUUUUAAUGUCAAUAUUGUUAUAAUAGUCAAGAUGGCCUCACCUGAAUGUUGUAGGUGUCAGAAAUUGUUUCAGUAGUAAUAUGCCACUAGGCAGACCACCUAAUCUUUAAAUCCAGUUGUAGCACUCAAUUUACUUUCUGUUUGCGGCACUAGUGCACUGAGCCAAGUCAACUUGCCCACCUUUCUAAUAUUUCUUACAGCUAAGGAGGAACUGUUGGUCCUUUGAUAUCCUAGAAUGCUUUCUACCUUGUGGAAAUGCUUUUCACCUUAAUACACGGAUUAUAUUGUCUAAAUGUCUAAACAGGGAUUCUCUGGUUAGAACUGAAAUGAGAGAGUGAUCCAUUUUCAGAUUUUUAGAGGUUGGCUCCCAUAUUUUAGGUACUAGCUGAUAAGUAUUUAGUUUCCUGGUGACUUUGGAUAGGGCAAGUGGAGAUACAGAGAAUGUGAAAUUCCAGAUAAUAAGACCAGCAUUACUCACAAAUGACAACUGAUGCAGUAAUUUCUGCCCAAAUGCAGUAAGAAUCUUGUAGGGAGAUAAAGUGGUAAAAUUACAUGAAUCUUUUUACCAUGACUAUUUUUUUUUUUCCUAACUGUAGCAUAGUUCUCUGCCUAUAAAGCCAUGUGAAUAUCCUAGACCCAGGAAUUAAUUCCUGCUUAGGAAAAUUUUUUCUUCUGGCUUAUCUUUUGUUUGUGCCCAGAGUUUUGUCCUAGGCCUGUCCCCUGAUCUUUUGCUAUAACACAUACUUAAGGUGCAGUCUUCUUUCCUAAAUCAAUACUUUACUAUUGGUGUUGCUGCCAGUUAUUUAUUUAGAAAGAAAGUGAAAAAAUGCCUAGGUAGUUUGAUUGCAGCAUGCUAAACCCAUAAAUCUGGACAGAAGCCAUGAAGUCUUACCUUUUCUCUGUCUGGCUUGGAUGAACAACGGCCUUAUGCUUUCUAUUACAGGACUAGUUGACCCAGUUCUUCAUAUUGGUUGCACAUUAGAAUUGUAUAGGACCCCCUCUAGACAUUUACAUUUUAUUGGUCUGUUGUGCUACCUGGGCUUUAGAUGAUUCUAAUAUGCAGCCAAGGUUGAGAAUCGCUCCCUAUGAAAUCCCUAAUGGUCUUUAGCAGGAUAACAUCAAUGCAGUUCUCUUUGACCUGAAAAUAUCUUUAUUGAUAUUCCAUGCAAGGCUCUCAAUUCAAAGUGUACAGUGGGCCAAGGCUUAGGUAGUAAAAUGGAUCAUCCAUUUGUCCUCAGAGUAAUUCUGGAGGGAGAUACUGUCAUCCGUCCAGUUUCCUCUCUAUACCAAAUACAAAGUACACAUAAGUAAGCAAAACAAAUUUUCAAAGAUCCUUCUCUAGAAUUCUUGUUCCUUUCCAUAUGUAAUUUCAGUGGAGAUUUCUCAACUAGCUGAAAUGGAGAACUUGAAUUUAUUAAAAUAUCCCAAACUGCUUACAGCAAUUUCUAUUUGUAAAAUAAACAGGUAGCAUUGUUAACGGAGAAAAGGAAGGAUCCUGCUUGGGGUGAUGGUAAUAUGUUUGAUUAUUUGUCUCUUAGCCUGUCUUCUAAGUGGGAUUUCAGUGUCAGUUCACUUCACUUUUCUUGGCUUGUUUUUUUGUGAAUGAAAUGAACUAGCUAAGGCUUAAGUAUUUCUGAAUAAUAUAUGAAAUAUGAAAUGAGUCAUUUUAGGAUCUUUGUUCUGGAAUGUCAAAGACCUAACCAAGUACUUCCCAAAUGAGGUUCCAGAUUCAUUCUUCUCAUCCAGGGUAGUAAAGGUGUUUCAAUGGGUUUGUUACUUGCCCAUGGCAACCUCACACAUGGUAAUAGAGAGGGGAGAAUUGUUUUAUUACCCUAAAAAAGUGAGAACCACUGUUCAAACUAACUAGCUACCAAGAGACUUCUAACUCAUGAAGAAAAUUUGUAUUUAAGAGCAAGUUCAAAUGUAGUAGUCUCUCUUCUGAGAGUAUUCUGGAUACCACGGAAAGUUUCACUUAUAUAUUGCCUACAAGUAAUUGGUAAUUUGAACUUCAGUAGGUAAUAUGUGCAAAGAGAAAAAGUAGGUCAAGGAGAAAGUUGGUUAGUGCAGAGGGCUGAAUUAGCAUCAGUCUGAAAUUUCAUUAAAGUAGCACUAAGGCCUGGGUGUUUGCUUAGCAUGUAAGUGCUGCAGUGUCAGAGAAAAUGCCUCUUAUGCCUUAGAAAAUUUGCUGAAGGCUCCCUGUUACUGGUGGAAUAGAAAAGCAGUAGCCUUUGAGACUCCAAAGAGAGUAGCCCCCUUAGGGUUUUCAUACUGAAGAACCUUGUGGAGUACUGUGAAACAUUGUUGAACUUUAUGCAAAUUAUACUGCACUGGAUUUUAAGAUUUUAUGGAGGAGAGAGUAGAGGAGAAUGGGGAAGUAAUGACAAAAGAUAAAUACGUAAACUUGUACUAUAUUUUAAGCAAGGAAUGAAACAAAUUCCCUCGCAGGAAUUCCCUCUCAGCACUGUGAAGUUUGGUCAAGUUCGGCCUAAUGGGUUGGCUUGCUGAUUCCUCUUAAACCUCUAGGAAAUCCUUUCUAAAACGGCAAAACAAACGUUAGUUUGAGUACUGUUUCACCACCCUGCUCCAUCCCCCUACUCUCAACAAAAGAAAAGCAUUCCCAAACUAUAGGCAAAAGAAAUGUGUUCUAUCUCAGUCCAUUAAUUUUUCAUCUGCUAUGAUCUGUGUUCACAGUUUUAGCACAUUGCAUUAUUUUGUGAUCUGAUAGCAGAACAUCAGGAACUAAUGGCUUCCUUCCCUUUAAGAAACCUUAAAGUUAGAACUUUUUUUUUUUUUUUUGAGACAGGGUCUUGAUCUGUCACCCAGGGUGGAGUGCAGUGGCACACUUAUAACUCACUGCAGCCUCCACCUACCAGACUCUAUCCUCCUGCCUCAGCCUCCCAAGUAGCUGGAAUACAGGCACGUGCCACCACACCCAGCUAAAUUUUCUAUUUUCUUUUAGAGACAGAGUCUCACUAUGUUGCCCAGGCUGGUCUCAAACUCCUGGGCUCAAGUGAUCCUCCCACCUAGGACUCCCAGAGUUAUAGGUGUGAGCCACUGUGCUUGGCCUAGAACUCUAUUUUUGGCAUUUCUUUCUAAAUGAGUACAUUGGAAGAACAUUAGGUUUCCAGGCUCCUCAUAAUUUCUGAAGGGGACCCGCUCUGCUCUGCCUCUGAAAGAAGAAAAGGCUGAGGGUUCAAAUAUAGAAAAGUCAAUGUAGCAGAAAUUUGAUUUCCUUCAGAUGGACAUAGUCUGAAAGAAAUCUAUCCAACUGUUCUCUAUGGUGCUUACAUGAUGGGUGACAGCUGUCCCCAUCUACCUGUCCCUGGCACUGUGCCUUCCCACUGGUCACUGUGAAAAGCAAAUCACACUGGACUCAGAGGCCAGAAUCCAGGACAAAAUCCCCCUUUUCAUCUUGAGCCCAUCACGUCUUUGUAUAGCUGUUAAUGUAGCAUUUACUUCUUUAUGGGAAACUCUUGGGUUUUUAACCCAAGAAGAAAUUGUAAAGCAUUUAAACUAGUCAGAAAAUAAGAUUCUGAUGGUAGCGAUCAAAUAAAGAGAUGAUAGGAAAAUUUCACUUCCUCUCAGUUGAUAUUGAUUGAUAGCAAGGAUCAACUACGCCCACCUCUUCCUAAGUUUUUAAAGGCUACCAUAAUAUUUGUAAGCAACAAAUUUAUCUAACAUUUUUUACAACUUGCUAAUCAAGGAGGAUUCAUAUUAAAACAGACAAUCAGUUUCUAAAAUGUUAUCCCUGAAAGGGAAUGGAAUAGAGUAUUUUUAGCUAUAAGAACCUACCAGUCUGUUUUUUCCCUUUGAAAAAACUAAUGUUUGAAAUUUGUGUCUUUCAUCUGAAGCAGUUACUCCAUUAAUAGUAAAGAUGCCACGGAAAAGUCAGUGAACCAGGAUAGUGCUCUUGCACCACUGAGGGUGCUAGACUGGCUUUGUGCAUCUUAUUUCCUAAGAAUAUCAGUUUUUAUUAUGACCUUAAUUAUAAAUACCUAUAUAUAGGAGUAGGAUUUUCUCUCACCCAACCCUACUUUAAUCAUUAUCACUUAAGUGUAAACCACCACCUCCCCCUCUUUUCCUUUACUGAAAAAAAAUGCACUUUAAUUCCUAAGGAGAGUGGCUGUUCCUGGCCCUGAAGCCAGAUUACUUCAGGAGGAGAGUUAAGGAGGGAGAACUCUUGCCAGACCCUGUGAAAUUAACCAAAUUUCUUAAUGUAAACACACAAGUAAUAGCAUCCACUUUUAAGUGGCCCCCACUCCAUGCCAAAGGGGAAAAGAACCACCAAAUCAAAAAAGAUUUCUAAGUACCUGUCCUGAUUUUGGAAGUUUCACUGAGGAAAAACUAUCUAAGAUCAUUUUCACAGCUAGCAAUUUGUCAGAAACUUUGGUGGUGUUUUGUGGGAGGCUGAGAUUUUUUAAAUUAAAAAUCAAGUGAAAACACAAAGAUCUAAAAUAUGGUCCUGAUUUGUGUCAUUUCUAAGUAUCAGAUUUGUUCUCCCUGCAUUUGACAGAUGUUCUCAGUCUCUCCUCCUGUAAGAUUCUGUCCUUCCCCUGAUGACGAGCCAAUAGUUCUUGGUGGGGUUGCAUGUCUCCUAGAGCCCCAGGACCCCUGUCGUGUCGGGGAAGGGGGGAGGGCAGGAGGGUGGGCAGAGACUCGGGUUGGGGGAGGGAGAUUCAAAGAAAGAGUGAAAAUAUGGGUUUAUAUAAACAUAUUUAAAACAGUUUAGCAAAAGCUUUCUCGUUGAACAGCUUUAAGAACAAUGUGAAUGAAAUCUUAGCAACUUGGUUAGUAAUCUGAAAAGUCUAUUAAUGUAUACUUGAAAUUCUGUUUGUAUAAAAAUGCAUUUUCCUCUUUAUUUUAACACUGUGUAAAAGAACAUUAUGCAUGUGAGUGGUUUGAGAAUUAAAUGGUUUAAUACUCA